AGAGCAGGUCGGGCGGUCGCUGCCGCGCUCGAAAGAGUGCGGGAGAGGAAAGUCCGAACACCGAAGGGCAGCGAGCCAGCUAACGGCUGGGCGCUCGUCCGUCAGAGGCCGCGAGAUCGGAAGCUUUGACCGGACGGGCGACGACAAGUGCAACAGAGAACAGACCAGCCAGCGGGUUUUCUUCUACGGAAGGAAGCAGCGGGUGAUGGGUGAAACGGUGCGGCCCCACGGGGCUUAAAGUAAGAGCGCACCGGCGCGCGUGGCGACACGCGCGGCCAGGCAAACUCCUCGCGGUGCAAGACCAAAUAGGGAGGCAGUCAAAAAGGGCUGCUCGUCCGAAGUCGCGUUUCGACGCGCUACGCCUCCGGGUAGGUCGCUUGAGCUGUUCGGCAACGAACGGCCUAGAGGAAUGAUCGCCGCCCCGAAAUCCGUGCGCGGAUUUCGGGGGACAGAAUUCGGCUUACAGACCUGUUCUCAAA
rnacentral:RNase_P_RNA from 1 species